UCGUAUAAUGGAGGUGCCGGGGCUGUCGCUAUCUUUGUGCACGCCCUGGUGCUCUCUCACAAUCCAUCUCACCCCUUUUGUGCAUCACCGCGUGGGUGCUCUCCUUUUGAAAAGGGAGCAUUUUGCGCUUUUACACAGACCCACUGCAUGUCUAGAAUGUCUUUAUUUGCGGUCACACGCAAUCAAUA
rnacentral:misc_RNA from 1 species